rnacentral:hammerhead_ribozyme from 1 species
CCGCGAAACCGCCGCAAGGCGGUCUGCCGGGCGUGGUGUCCCGGUACUGAUGAGCAGCCGAGG